GGGCGCUUAGCUCAGUGGUAGAGCAUUACCUUCACACGGUAGGGGUCACUGGUUCGAACCCAGUAGCGCCCACCA
rnacentral:tRNA from 2 species